rnacentral:rRNA from 1 species
GACGAACGCUGGCGGCGUGCUUAACACAUGCAAGUCGAACGAUGAACCAGGGCUUGCCCUGGGGAUUAGUGGCGAACGGGUGAGUAACACGUGGGCAACCUGCCCCAGACACCGGGAUAACCUCUCGAAAGAGUGGCUAAUACCGGAUAUGACCACUUCGGGCAUCCGACGGUGGUGGAAAGGAUUCUGGUCUGGGAUGGGCCCGCGGCCUAUCAGCUAGUUGGUGGGGUAAUGGCCUACCAAGGCGACGACGGGUAGCCGGCCUGAGAGGGCGACCGGCCACACUGGGACUGAGACACGGCCCAGACUCCUACGGGAGGCAGCAGUGGGGAAUAUUGCGCAAUGGGCGAAAGCCUGACGCAGCGACGCCGCGUGAGGGACGAAGGUCUUCGGAUUGUAAACCUCUUUCAGCAGGGACGAAGCGAAAGUGACUGUACCUGCAGAAGAAGCACCGGCUAACUACGUGCCAGCAGCCGCGGUAAU